rnacentral:rRNA from 1 species
UACGUAGGGGGCUAGCGUUGUCCGGAAUCAUUGGGCGUAAAGAGCGUGUAGGCGGUCCGGUAAGUCCGCUGUGAAAGUCGGGGGCUCAACCCUCGAAUGCCGGUGGAUACUGUCGGGCUAGAGUGCGGAAGAGGCGAGUGGAAUUCCCUGGUGUAGCGGUGAAAUGCGCAGAUAUCAGGAGGAACACCUAUUGCGAAGGCAGCUCGCUGGGACGUCACUGACGCUGAGACGCGAAAGCAUGGGGAGCGAACAGG